UAUUUGUAACCUGUUUAUCAGUCACAUUGUUUUAUUAAAGCAAGCUUGGGUGUUUGUUUCUUUUUAAAAAUGUAACCUGCAAAUUUUGUGUUUCAGAGAAAAUGUCCCUCAACUACCCUCAGGGGAUGGGGGACCAUUCUAGGGGCCUCUCCGAGCAUUCAAGACACCUUGGAGAUCAUAAUCAAGUGAUUGAUCACUCAAGACUGCUCAGUGAUCAAUAUAGAGGUUUGAUGGAGCACUCCCGUGGUCUGGAUCCAUACCGUGGAAUUAUAGAUCAUACACGAGGCUUCACCGACCCGAGAAAUCUUGAUCCGAGGAUCAUUGAUCAAUCCCGGGGACUGGGCGAUCUCUCCCGAAUGUUGAUCCCUUCCUCCCAUGCUGCUAUGUUUAAUGAUAGUGUGUAUAGAGAUCCUAAUCUUGUGAACCGAAUACCAACAACUCUUUACCCUCCGCCACAACCACAAAUACUUCCACCGGUAUAUUGUAAGGCGGAGAACCAGCUGCUGGACUACGAUGCCCGUGAGCUAGCUGAGGCUAAUCGGUGUAAUCGGGAUAAUCGGGAUAGUUUCGAGGCUCAACUUGAACCUGGUCGAAGCCUGCAGCAACAGCUUCAACAGCAGGCACAGAUUCAUCAACAUCAUCAGCAGUCACGUGAACCACAGCAACAGCCACAGCAGGCAUCUCAACCACAACUGCAGCAGGCUACUCAGCCAUCACAACCUACACAGCAACUUCCAACACAGCCGCAGCCACAACAGUACGAAGAUGAAUUUGUUGAUGAGGAUAGUGAUAUGUCUAGUGAGGAGGGGUUAGGGGAGAUGAUGUGUAUAGAACCUGAGUUUAAUUAUAUUAAACCAGAAACUGAUCCAGAUCACAAUGAUGAAUCCAAUCAACCAACUGAUGAGAAGGAUGGAAAAGAAGAUUCAUCUUGCAAGGAUGAAACUGAACUCAAGCAGGAAUCAAACCUACCUGGAGAACCUAUCAAGAGAGGGAUUAGAGUUGGGAGCAAGGUUUCCUUCAAGUGUGGAGAAUGUGACCAAAUGUUUCCUGAGAAACGAAAUCUAUAUCUGCACAGGAGAGCUGAGCAUAAUCCUAAAUAUCCGUGUGAACAAUGCGAGUUUGCAACAUCAGAAGUUUCAGCGUUGAAGAAACACAGACUUAGUGUGCAUGAGAAGAUCAAGCAUAUGUGUGAAGAAUGCAGUUUCCUAGCUUCCAGUGUUACCGUUCUCAGAGAGCAUCGGCUUACCCAGCAUGUGAAAAUCAAGCAUCCCUGUAAUCUAUGCACUUUUGUCACGUUUGGAAAACGAAAUCUAAAGCGACACAUGAUGAAGAUGCAUGAAGGUUUCAUACCCAACACGCUCUUCUCAUGUGAUCAAUGUGAGUUUACAGCACCAUAUUCAUUCUGUAUAAAAGAGCACAAACAAACUGCACAUGAAGGAAAACAAUUUAAAUGUGCACAUUGUGAGUUUGUAACUCUACAAAAGACAAGUCUGAUAGCUCACAGGAAAAGUGUACAUUUGAAUGAAUCUCGAGAGGAGAAGAUAUACCCGUGCAAUCAGUGUGAUUAUGUUGGAACACACUUGGGUAACCUGAACGCACACAUACGAACCAAACACGAGGGUAUAAAACCAAACAAACAGUUUCCUUGUCCUCACUGUGACUAUGUUGGAACCUACAAAUGCAAUUUAAAUUCUCAUGUAAAAACUCAACAUGAGGGAAUCAAAUCUACUAAACUCUUCCCUUGUGAGAUUUGUAACUACGUAGCAACAUACAAAAGUAACUUGAAAGCUCACGUAAAAGCUAGACAUGAAGGCAUUAAAUCUGACAAAAUAUUUCCAUGUGACAAGUGCCAAUAUGUCAGCUCAUACAAGAGCAACCUCAGCUCGCACAUAAAAAGCCAGCACGAAGGCAUCAAGUCGACAAAAAUUUACUCAUGUCCCCAAUGUGAAUAUGUUGGGUCAUACAAGUGUAAUUUGAAUGAGCACAUAAAAAGAAAACAUGGCGGUAAACCUGAAGAACAAAUGUCCAUUGCUUCCAUUGCAGAACUUAUUCAGGAAAAUUGAUUUGGUUGUAAAUAAGAACAUUUAUUUGAAAUCAGUUUUGUAACGCUAAGUUGAUUUAACUAAAAUUGUAUAAUAACUUGUCCAUAGAUUUCUUUUUGUAAUUGAUCUGAAUGAUUUUAUAGUUAAUUUAACGAAAACUUUUAAAUAUUUUACAAUGAUAUUAAACCUUUGCAGGUAAACCCAACACGGGACAUCGAAGAAGAAGUAAAUUCUUGACCCCGAGAAUCAUAACACAAAAUUUCUAACAUUUGCUAAAAAUGCUAAUCUGUAUAUAUAUAAAUAUAGUUAUUUGAUUGUAAAAACAGAUGUUUAGACAAAGAAAUAGAUAAAAUAGAUGUAAUGGUGUUUGAGUCUAAAUCUGAUCUUUAUGAUAAUAUUAAUGAUACAUGUUAAUGUAAAUUCCAAGAAUCUCUGACAACUGUAAAAUACUCGAUGAUGUAAAAAAUGAAAACAGAUUUUUUUCACAGCCUAUUUUUUUGUAAAACUGCCCGAUAUUGAAUAUGGUUUUUAAACCUGAGACCGAUUUAAAGAAUUUGAGUCGCGGCUCAAAUAUGGUUGGUUCCACUUAAAAUUCUAUUCAAUUUUUUAAGAUUUAAGC
rnacentral:misc_RNA from 1 species